UCACCCUCUCUCUGCCUUCCUCUUCUCUCUCCCUUUUCCGGCAGCCGCUCCCCUCCUUCUCUCCUCCUCUCCCUCUCAUUCUUCUUCCCCUCUUUCUCUCUCCCAUCCUUCUCCCCUCUCCCAUCGUUCCCUUUCUCCCUCUUUCUCCCCAUCGCCUUCUGUACCCUCCCGUCUCUUCUCUUCCCCUUCCUCUGCUCCUUUCUUUUCUUCUUUUGCAGGUAGCAGGUUUCAGCGAGCAGGAACAACUCGACCCAGCAGCAACUCUAACUAGCCGCUUCCCUCUCCCAUCACUCUUCUUCUUCUUCUCCCUUUCUCCGCCUCCCUCUUCCCCUCUUUCCUCUCCCGUUUCCCCUUCGUCUUCCCCUUCUUAUUCUCCUUUCUUUCUUUUCUCCUUUUUCAGCCAGCAACUAGCGAGAUAGCAACUCGCUUAUCCUCUCUAAUUUCCAGGCGAGGCGACCAACAACUCUGACCGGCGAAUCAACAACUUCGACCAGCAAAACCAUUUCCCCAUCUGGCCCAGGUAGCCUGCAACAGCAAGCAGCAGCCACACGAGGAUGGGAGAUUUCAGCAACCAGUAGCUCUGUGGUAGCAAUAGCCGUGAGCAGCUCUGACAAGGUUCGAAAUGCCCGAAACUUGCACUAAGCCGGGUCUUGAAAAAUUCGCCUAGAUUUCUCCUUUACAAAUUAUGGAUGAUUACUAAUAUAUCCUUCUUGCCUUAGUUUUGAAGAAGAUAGGCAUAUUUUACAUGGUUUUGGACUUAAAGUUAAAGAUGAUGAAGAGUGGCCUAGAAGAAAUUUCGGACAAAGCUUUGUUUGUUUUAAUGUUGUGUAUAUUUUUAUCUGUUAUUUUUAUUACAACAUGUGUAUAACUCUAAAGCAACUCUUAUGUAUGAAACAAUUUUGGGGAUCGCCUAGGGAGGGGGAAUUAUGUGUUAAAUAUCUUCUUUUUCUUAUUUU